CGCAUUCAUGGCACGCACUCGCUCCGGCACCUGCAACAGCAACAGAAACAGAAGACGCAUUUGUAGUCGGGUAAAGAAUCGAACGGGGUUGCGGCAAAAGCCUCGAAUAAUGUCUACCACAGCAGUAUGCUGCCUCUCGUCGCCACCUCUUUCGCCUUGUUCGCUACCUGAUUGCAGGCACUGUGCAGUGAACAAUUUAAUUUAAACGGAAAAUAUGGCCCCACAAUGCCGUCGUCGUCGACCAGGCGUGCAAUGGACGAGGGACGUGAUGAGCUACAGAAUACCCUGCACUUCUGAAGUCUUCAACUUAUUCAAA